rnacentral:rRNA from 1 species
GUUGUCCGGAUUAUUGGGCGUAAAGAGCUUGUAGGCGGUUUGUCGCGUCUGCUGUGAAAGGCCGGGGCUUAACUCCGUGUAUUGCAGUGGGUACGGGCAGACUAGAGUGCAGUAGGGGAGACUGGAAUUCCUGGUGUAGCGGUGGAAUGCGCAGAUAUCAGGAGGAACACCGAUGGCGAAGGCAGGUCUCUGGGCUGUAACUGACGCUGAGAAGCGAAAGCAUGGGGAGCGAACAGGAUUAGAUACCCUGGUAGUCCAUGCCGUAAACGUUGGGCACUAGGUGUGAGGGACAUUCCACGUUUUCCGCGCCGUAGCUAACGCAUUAAGUGCCCCGCCUGGGGAGUACGGCCGCAAGGCUAAAACUCAAAGAAAUUGACGGGGGCCCGCACAAGCGGCGGAGCAUGCGGAUUAAUUCGAUGCAACGCGAAGAACCUUACCAAGGCUUGACAUAUACUGGACCGCAUCAGAGAUGGUGUUUCCCUUCGGGGCUGGUAUACAGGUGGUGCAUGGUUGUCGUCAGCUCGUGUCGUGA